UCGCCUACGGGAGGCAGCAGUAGGGAAUAUUGGACAAUGGGUGCAAGCCUGAUCCAGCCAUGCCGCGUGCAGGAAGAAAGCCUUCUGGGUUGUAAACUGCUUUUUUCAGGGGAUAAAAUACCGGUGCGCCGGGAAUUGCAAGUACCUGGAGAAUAAGCCACGGCUAACUACGUGCCAGCAGCCGCGGUAAUACGUAGGUGGCAAGCGUUGUCCGGAUUUAUUGGGUUUAAAGGGUGCGUAGGCGGUGAUUUAAGUCAGUGGGGAAAUACGGCAGCUUAACUGUCGAGGUGCCAUUGAUACUGGGUCACUUGAGUACUGAUGAGGUAGGCGGAAUGGACGGUGUAGCGGUGAAAUGCUUAGAGAUCGUCCAGAACACCGAUAGCGAAGGCAGCUUACUAAGGAGUAACUGACGCUGAGGCACGAAAGUGUGGGGAUCAAACAGGAUUAGAUACCCCAGUAGUC
rnacentral:rRNA from 1 species